UCUCCGUUGGUGAACCAGCGGAGGGAUCAUUACCGAGUUUACAACUCCCAAACCCAUGUGAACAUACCUGUUGCCUCGGCGGCCUACCCGGAAGCUACCCUGUAGCUACCCUGUAGACCGCCGGCGGAUUUCAAAACUCUUGUUUUCAGUUGUCAUCUCUGAGAAUAAAACAAAUAAAUCAAAACUUUCAACAACGGAUCUCUUGGUUCUGGCAUCGAUGAAGAACGCAGC
rnacentral:misc_RNA from 1 species